ACUGAACGCUGGCGGCAUGCCUUACACAUGCAAGUCGAACGGUAACAGGUCUUCGGAUGCUGACGAGUGGCGAACGGGUGAGUAAUGCAUCGGAACGUGCCUAGUAGUGGGGGAUAACUACUCGAAAGAGUGGCUAAUACCGCAUGAGAUCUACGGAUGAAAGCAGGGGAUCGCAAGACCUUGUGCUACUAGAGCGGCCGAUGGCAGAUUAGGUAGUUGGUGGGAUAAAAGCUUACCAAGCCGACGAUCUGUAGUUGGUCUGAGAGGACGAUCAGCCACACUGGGGCUGAGACACGGCCCAGACUCCUACGGGAGGCAGCAGUGGGGAAUUUUGGACAAUGGGCGCAAGCCUGAUCCAGCAAUGCCGCGUGCAGGAUGAAGGCCUUCGGGUUGUAAACUGCUUUUGUACGGAACGAAAAGCCCCGGGUUAAUACCCUGGGGUCAUGACGGUACCGUAAGAAUAAGCACCGGCUAACUACGUGCCAGCCGCCGCCGUAA
rnacentral:rRNA from 1 species